rnacentral:lncRNA from 1 species
CUGCUUUGGGUUGGGUUAGCUAAAUGAAGUUGUUCUUUAGCCAGCUGAUUCGUUUCCAAUAUUCAGUUUCCUGAGGAUGGAUCAGUUUGUUGUUACUAAAUCGUGACAUGCUGAUGUUAAAUUCAUAAGUUAUCGCAUAAUUAAUAAUCGCAAUUGUAAAGCUGGUGUAAAUAAGUAGAGGGAAGGGGUAGCAUAUAGAGAAGGGGUAGCACAUAGUGAGUGGAAAUAAGUAGAGGGAAGUAGACGUCAUUGUUUUGGUUUGGACCGCACGCUUUCCUGAUGUUAUUGUGCUUAUUUUAUUUUAUGGCUAUUUCAGUUCAUUCAACAAACCUGAUCACGACAAGAAAUACUAUUUAAGAGUAGUGAUCAUAUGACACUGUUAUUUCAGUUACAGAGAGUUGAAGAGGAAGGAACCGAAUUAAUGGAAAAAAGGAAACUGUGUUGAUUACUUGCAAGCGCCAUUUCAGCCAGAUGGUUCGUUUCUAGUCCUAUGCUUUGGGCUGGGUUAGCUAAGUAAAGUUGCUCUUUAGACAUAGAUGCGGUUAGUAUAUAUUCAGUUUCCUGAGGAUCGAUCAGUUUGUUGUUACUAAAACAAACGUUAUUAAAAUAAUCAAAGGGAAGUUGAUGUCAUUGUUUUGAUUUGGACCGCACGCUUUCCUGAUGAGUUUAUUUUAUGUCUGUUUCAGUUCACUCAACAAAUCUGAUCACGACAAGAAAUACUAUUUAAGAGUUGUGAUAUGGCAUCGUUAUUUCAGUUACAGAGAGGUGAAGAGGAAGGAACCGAAAUAAUGGAAGAAAAGAAGCUGUGUGUUCGUUGCUUUGUAAGCCAUUUUAGCCAGAUGCAUGGUUCGUUUCUAUUACACUAUGAUUUGGGUUCGGUUAGCUGAUUAAGUAAUUAAAGUUGUUCUUUAAACAUAUAUGCGUUAGUAUAUAUUCAGUUUCCUGAGGAUCAGCUUGCUGAGAUUAAUUCAUAAGUUAUCGCAGAAUAACCGCAAUUUGGUGUCAUGCUUCAGCGGAUUGAUACGUAACGCACUCUCUCCGUUUCAAAUUAUAAGUUGCUCUAACCGCAAUUUUUUCCUUUUUUUAGAAUACAGUAAUUUUUUCCUUUUUUUUGAGACGCAAUUUUUUUCUGGGAUUCUAUAAUUUCAUAAAUGAAAUUCGGCAUCAUGGGCCGAACUGCAAGGCCGAUUUUUGGCGCGCGUCUUCUGCCCCUCUCUCCUCUUGGGCAUUGACCCAUUCAUUUCCGGCCAAGCUUUCCUCCGCCUGCCGCAGCCCCUUGGGCGGAAGCCCUUCGACAUGCUUCCCUAGCCCAUCUUGCGUCUUGCUUUCCUGCCGAGUCCCGCGGCCCAGCCAAACGCCACGGUAUGAAUUUCUGACACCUUCCAUUCCCACGCGAGAAAAUAUCUACCAACUUGAGCCAUGUCGCUGCAUAUGUCAAAUCUAUCUACAUAUUGGAAGCCAUUUUAUAGGGGUUGCAUGCAACCACGGUUAAAUAUAUAGAGUUGAGAUCUUAACCAUUGUGUGGUGGAGUGAACUCUCAAACUACCAUAUGGCUUGUACUAUUUCCGUUCCUCUGAUCUGAUAUCUCAUCUACCUGCGUGCAUGCUCAUUCAAUGAUAGCAACUCCACAUUAGGCUUGUUUGUGUAAGGUGAACAACAUGCUUGCCCUUGUUACACUCGAAUAAAAGGAAAUCAAGAUUAAAACCAACAAACAGCACAUGAUUCAGCUAAUGAAAUGUCCUCUUCUCUCUGUUACCGACAUUUACCCUUAUGCUCACUUGUCACUUCGUUCAUAAGUACAAGAAGUUCUAUCUUUGUUCUUUGACCAUAAUAAUGAAAUAUUUUAAUAAAAAUAAUUUGGAGUUCUAGAUAUUGAUGAUUUUUAUAGAAACUUGGUCAAUCUGAAGAAGUUUGACUUAGGUUAAAGGUAGGACUUCUUAUAUUCAGGAAUGAAGGUAGCACCUUAUUAUUCUAUUUUUUUUCCAUCCCGUUAUCGGAUUUGAAAAAUCAACACAAUUUUCCCCCCAUCUGUACUGUAUUUAACAUAUUGUGUUUUUUGCGUUGAUACUGACAUAUCAAGAAGCCAUACGUAUUACACCAAUCCAACAGAUGUAGCCAAUGACUAAUCAGGAAUUACGUUGCAUGCAGCC